rnacentral:misc_RNA from 1 species
UUAUUGUGGCUAGGCGUAUUAGUUUCCCAUUAUGGGAAUCCACUCUUGCGCCGGUGUAUUAGUCCUUUAGGCCUUUGAGCUGGUUGAUUGCUUUGCUUUUAUUCGUAUUUCUUCGGAGGUACUUACCGAGUUCUGAUAGCAGUAUGCAAUUAGACUUGAUUUUUGAUCUCAAAUCAGGCAAGACUACCCGCUGAAUUUAA